CUCAUCUUGCAGUAGGCUGGGCAGGCUGGAUUGCACUUGUAGGCCGUUUGCAGGGUGGGUCCCUCCUGUAGGCUUCCACAUUUAGGGAGUGGAGCAAGUCGCGUCCCACAGGCGUGUAUUUGGGUGGUUCAUGUGAGUAGUCGACCAGGUUCCAGCCCCCCCGUAGGUAGGUGGCAGAGGGGGUCCUCAAUUAGGUAGUUGGACAGGUCAGGGGUCCACUUGUAGGUAGUUGGGCAGGGAGGGUCCCUCAUUUCAGUCUUUGGGAAAUACGGGUGUCACAUGUGGGUAUUUGAGCAGGUCGAAGCCCAGUUGUGGGUAUUUGGGUGGGGAGGAUCCCAGCUGCUGGUAGUUGAGCAGGGAGGGUCCCACCUGUAGGUACUGGAGCAAGGGGGGCCCAAUUGUAGGUAGCUGAGAAGGGAGUGGGGGCCCAGUUGUAGGUAGUUGGGCAGGGAGGGGGCCCAGUUGUAGGCAGUUGAGCAGGGAGGAGGCCCAUUUGUAGGUAAUCGGGCAGGGAGGGUCCCACUUGUAGGUACUGGAGCAAGGGGGGGCCCAAUUGUAGGUAGCUGAGAAGGGAGUGGGGGUCCAAUUGUAGGUAGUUGGGCAGGGAGGGUCUCUCACUUAGAUAUUUGGGAAAUUCGGAUGUCACAUGUGGGUAUU